CCAAGGCUAAAUACUCCUGACUGACCGAUAGUGAACCAGUACCGUGAGGGAAAGGCGAAAAGAACCCCGGCGAGGGGAGUGAAAAAGAACCUGAAACCGUGUACGUACAAGCAGUGGGAGCCUCUUUAUGGGGUGACUGCGUACCUUUUGUAUAAUGGGUCAGCGACUUAUAUUCUGUAGCAAGGUUAACCGAAUAGGGGAGCCGAAGGGAAACCGAGUCUUAACUGGGCGUUAAGUUGCAGGGUAUAGAC
rnacentral:rRNA from 2 species